UUAUUAUUAUUAUUAUUAUUAUUAUUAUUAUUAUUAUUAUUAUUAUUAUUAUUUCCAGCAUACCACAAUCUAAUUUCUUUAACAGAGAUGCUGAUAACAUUUACCAUAGGCUAUUAUAAUAAAUACAAUCUCAAGAAGCUCCCGGUUUGUUGGACACUUUGCCAAAUUCUACAUUGUAGUUUCUUUUGGUACAAUUGCUCUUUAAAAAGUCUUAGUAAAGUUAUGGUUCCAUAAAAUUUGUGGCUACCAAGAGUUUUUCUCAAUGUGAAAUUACAUAGGAUCAGCGUAUUUGUCACACUUCUCUAAUCCCUCCAGUAAAUCCAUCAUGCCGUUAUUUCAGCCAUGCUUUGUUCACAUUUUCAGUGCCUUUUGGUAUUAACAGCAGCAGAAAAAGUUACAUUUUGUAGUACCCAGAACUUUUAAGGACACUGAUUGUUUGUGGGAUUCUGUUUCAUUUGAGUAUGAUUUUAGUGUUGGUAAGAUUAAGCAAAGUUAGAUCUCAGUAAUGUUAUGUUUUAUUACUCUGUCGAGUUAAUUUUAAGAGUUAUUUAUGUCGAGGUGGAUUUCUGCCAGGUUUGAGUGUUGCUCAGUUUAGACAAGGUCAAGUUUCAGUCUUCUUCACUUUAACACUUUUCAUCUUCUAUUCCAGUUUCAUAAGAUCACUUUUUAUUCAGUAUUAAAGAUGGUAACUUUCAGUUCCUUUAAGUGUACCUCUAAUUCUACUGAGGCGACGCUGAAUUGCACUGCAAUUAAUUUUAAGUCCCAAGUUAAUUUUGUUUCAAUAUGAAUGUUUACAUUCCAAGAUGUAGUUACUUCCUUCUACAGAUGAGACAGACCCAGCUGAAACAGCAGUGAUGGAACACUGACAAACACCUGCCCUUGCACAGAAGAUCCAGUUUGCUGAGCCCUUGAUCCCCUCACAGACUGCACAGGUGCCAGUGCUGCCCUGCCCAACAGGAUCAUUCAUUGGCAUCUCUUCUGUUUUAUCUCCCACAGAUAACUCAGGAGAGUGGGGGGUUGUCCUGCACUAUGGCUGUGAUCCACUGGGAGCUGUUCCUUGUUUCAUUGCUAUGGAUCCAGGAGUGCUGGAAGAAUAUUGUCUCAAAUUCCUGAGGCAGUCACUGCUGAUGUAUUGGUUCCAUCAUGUGAAUUCACUGGUUUUUAGAACAGGCAUUGUUCAUAAGAUAUCAUUACCUUGUUUAUAAGUGGCUUUUCACAAACUUUGACACAUCUUUGUGUAACUCUCACAGACACGUGUCGCUCUGGGAUCUCUGUUCUGUUCUCCAGCUGCAGAUGCCUCUCUUUGAACAGGCUCUGCAGCCGUUCCUGCCCUGCCUCCUCAGCCUUUGCUCCCUUCUCUUGUUUCAGCAGGGUUGCUGUGCCUUGAGCCAGGGCUGGCCCCUGAUUCUCCUGUGCUUUCAGAGUUCCAGGAUAAGAUCUCUGGGCUCUGUGGAAAGCCUCACCUGAGCUGAGGCUCCUGUGGUCUUUACCAACCCUUCUGUGACACAUCCUUGUGGGGCAGGGCUGUGAGCUGCUGAGGACAAGGCUGCUCCUGCUCUGAGGGAAUCAGACACAGCCCCAGGCUUUGGCAAACACUGCAGCUCCUGCACUUCGGGAAUAACAAGUGGCCGAUGAGAAGUGACUUUGGUGUCAGUGAGCAGGUUAUCAUGGAUUGAUCUCGCACUGGAGAGCAGUCUUCACACCCACUGCUCUCGGCAUCACCCAAAGAGUUUGGAGGCUGCUGCCCGGCAGCUCCUGAGUUGUGUCUUCAUGGUCAAUCUCAUCAGACCCUUGUUUAGUUGUAAAAACAUCAAUAAAAUGCACAGAGCAUUGGCCCAGGGUCUCAGGACUUGCAUAUCUCUUCCAAAGGAAGAGGGAAAAGAGUGUUUCUCCCAAACCACAGAGUUAAAAUGUUCAUGUUAUCUACAUAUAUUUUUAAAAGGAAGAGAACGAAAACAAAAUAUCCAUUAAUGUCCAAAUGGUGCUUCUGUCUAUUUCUGCUCUAUUUUUUCACAUGUUGAAACUCUAAGAAGACUUAAAAAAAAAAAAGCCACCAAGCAAACAAAAAACCCCACUAAAUUUAAGCUGAAGGAGAAGCAAUCUGGCUGCAGGCUUGUGGCACUCCACUGCCUGAGUUCCAGUCAGGGAGCUCAUGCCCUCUGCAGUUAGAAGCCAAAGUUAGAUCCCAAAGCACUGAGCAUGAGCUUUCAGCUUUUUGAACACUGAACUGUAAGGAAAGCUGCUGGGCAGGGCCAUGCUCCAGGCACAUCUGUGGCAUUUCCUCUGUCCAGCUCUCUCAGCUCAGCUCCUGUCUUUUCCUCUCCUGGCUGGGUUUGGCUCCUGCAUUUCUUGAGGGGCUGGCCCUGCACUGAUCAGAGCAUGAACUGACCAUAGACAAACAGCUUCUGGCAGGGUGGGUCUAUCCUAAAUGGAACAUUUCCCAAAGUUAUUCCAGUGCCUUAGUUUCACUUACUCAAGAUGGCUUUUAUAGGAACCUGGUUUAAUGCAUUCCAUUUCUAAACAAGGAGUGCACAACGCUCCUGCACUCCCUGCCAGGGUCAUUCUUUGAGCCUUGGUGAAAGGCUUUAGGGCAGCACAGAGCCUGUUAAGCACCAACAACUUAAUCCAAAAUGAAAAUUAAUACCAUAGGCAGAGCCUGACUUUAAAACUAUUUUAAAACGAAAUUAAAGAGCAGUUGCAUUGCCAAUUGAGAAGAUUAGAAAGGUUUCCUUAGCAGUUGUUGAGAUGACAAAGUAAGGGAGAGGGGACGGAGCCUGGAGUGGGGGAAAGAAGGGGGAAACCUUCAUUUGCACAGUGCCUUUUUCACCAUCGUGCUGACAGCUCAAGGACUUGUAGAAACUGUU